ACGCUCGACACCUACGGGAGACAGCAGUGGGGGAUAUUGCACAAUGGAGGAAACUCUGAUGCAGCGACGCCGCGUGAGGGAAGACGGUUUUCGGAUUGUAAACCUCUGUCUUCAGGGACGAAAUGAAUGACGGUACCUGAGGAGGAAGCUCCGGCUAACUACGUGCCACAGCCGCGGUAAUCUGAGCGGGCUGGCAAGGC
rnacentral:rRNA from 1 species